ensembl:lncRNA
AUAAAAAGAAACAUAAAAAUAGGCCAAAAUAACAAUGACUGGAGCUUGCAGUAACUUUAUUAGCUAAAAUAUAUGAGUAAUAUAUAUGAGUAUAUAAUAGUGACACUAUUCUGCCACUUGUAUUUUUCAGAAGACCCAGAAAUAUCCAAAAGGAAAACACUUCAUUCCAAUGAGACCUCGUCAAGUUUAAUAUUUCACAACCUUUCUUUUCCCCUCCACCAAUCCUGAAAAUCUUUGUCUUGUUUCUGUCUCCCUGUGUCUUUAGGGAGGCCUUUUGUGGCAUGGUUUCAAGGAGGAUGAGAGGACAGAGGAAGACAGAGAGAGAUGCACAAGUUUCAUCAGUAAUUGGAGAUGGGCUGGAACUCCAAGUACCAAGAAUGUGGGCAAGGCCUUCACUCCUCCGUGUAUCCCAUCAGCACUGACCUACAAACUGCCCGCCUUUCCCUCCCUGGACGCCUGCCAGAGUUCACCUGCUUCACUUCAUUCCCAUCCCCCCUUCCGUACUCGAGGAUCUGUGACUUAUCAGAGGGGGUUUAAGAAAGGCAGAGGAAUGCAGUGGCACCCGCUUCAUCCAAAGAAUCCACGGAAAGGCGGGAAGUUUAAAGAUCUGCAAGCAGUAGGAGUCACCGUUCCAUCAAGACCUUCGAGAUAUUUUCAGAAGGGUGGCACUUCUGCCAAGCCCUCACUGAGGCGAGCUCCACAGCAGAUUUCUACCCGACAAUCAAAGCGGCAUUACUUCAUGAAAGUGUGGACUCAGAGGUAGACCGCUAGGGUUUAGGGUGUGAUUUGGGACAGGGCCAUACACUGCUUGAGAGUGUUUAGUGUUCCAUAAUGUACACAUCGCCUCAUUUUGGAAAUGAAUAACUUGUCGGGUCAUACAUAGACUAUCUUGUCUCUUUACAUUUAAAUCUAGAUUUAUUCACACUGGCCCUUGUUACCGCCACAUGAACACAGUUGCCUGAAAAAAAGUUUGGGGGACGAAAUUACGUUUUAUUAAAAUUAAGGGGGACACAUCCCCCAAGUCCCCAACAUAUUCUACGCCCAUGGAUAGCGGCUCCCUGAGGUGCGGAAAUUAUAUGUUUAUAAUUAUAUGUUAUAUGUUAAAUGUUUGUGGGAACUGGCGGGACUGUUUCAAAAGCCAAAUGGGGCAGAAUUUGCCUGCUUUUCACUGCUGUAUUAAUAUUAAAACACAGUUUUCAUAAUGUUAAAACUCAGAUAUCUGAAUGAACACUAAGCAUUUUACCUAUUUCUAGAUUUCAAUAAUAUUUCAAUAAUACAACAACAUUAUUUUAUGUGUGAUGG